CAGCAGCCGCGGUAAUACAGAGGGUGAGAGCGUUAAUCGGAUUUACUGGGCGUAAAGCGUGCGUAGGCGGCUUCUUAAGUCGGAUGUGAAAUCCCUGAGCUUAACUUAGGAAUUGCAUUCGAUACUGGGAAGCUAGAGUAUGGGAGAGGAUGGUAGAAUUCCAGGUGUAGCGGUGAAAUGCGUAGAGAUCUGGAGGAACACCGAUGGCGAAGGCAGCCAUCUGGCCUAAUACUGACGCUGAGGUACGAAAGCAUGGGGAGCAAACAGGAUUAGAUACCCCCGUAGUCCCUGUCUCUUAUAC
rnacentral:rRNA from 1 species